rnacentral:rRNA from 1 species
AAGCGGUGGAGGAUGUGGCUUAAUUCGAGGCUACGCGAAGAACCUUAUCCUAGUCUUGACAUGCACGGAUUAACUCCUGGAAACAGGAGCCAGGCCUUCGGGUACAACGUGCACAGGUGCUGCAUGGCUGUCGUCAGCUCGUGUCGUGAGAUGUCGGGUUAAGUCCCUUAACGAGCGAAACCCUUGUCACUAGUUGCCAGCGCGUCAUGGCGGGGACUUUAGUGAGACUGCCGGUGUAAACCGGGAGGAAGGUGGGGAUG